rnacentral:rRNA from 1 species
UACGAAGGGGGCUAGCGUUGUUCGGAAUUACUGGGCGUAAAGCGCGCGCAGGCGGUUCUUCAAGUCAGAGGUGAAAGCCCAGAGCUCAACUCUGGAAUUGCCUUUGAGACUGAGUGGCUUGAGUACGAGAGAGGUGAGUGGAAUUCCCAGUGUAGAGGUGAAAUUCGUAGAUAUUGGGAAGAACACCGGUGGCGAAGGCGGCUCACUGGCUCGUAACUGACGCUCAUGCACGACAGCGUGGGGAUCAAACAGG